CCUGGCUCAGGACGAACGCUGGCGGCGCGCCUAACACAUGCAAGUCGAACGAGCGAGAGAGAGCUUGCUUUCUUGAGCGAGUGGCGAACGGGUGAGUAACGCGUGAGGAACCUGCCUCAAAGAGGGGGACAACAGUUGGAAACGACUGCUAAUACCGCAUAAGCCCACAGCUCGGCAUCGAGCAGAGGGAAAAGGAGCAAUCCGCUUUGAGAUGGCCUCGCGUCCGAUUAGCUAGUUGGUGAGGUAACGGCCCACCAAGGCAACGAUCGGUAGCCGGACUGAGAGGUUGAACGGCCACAUUGGGACUGAGACACGGCCCAGACUCCUACGGGAGGCAGCAGUGGGGAAUAUUGCACAAUGGGGGAAACCCUGAUGCAGCGACGCCGCGUGGAGGAAGAAGGUCUUCGGAUUGUAAACUCCUGUUGUUGAGGAAGAUAAUGACGGUACUCAACAAGGAAGUGACGGCUAACUACGUGCCAGCAGCCGCGGUAAAACGUAGGUCACAAGCGUUGUCCGGAAUUACUGGGUGUAAAGGGAGCGCAGGCGGGAGAACAAGUUGGAAGUGAAAUCCAUGGGCUCAACCCAUGAACUGCUUUCAAAACUGUUUUUCUUGAGUAGUGCAGAGGUAGGCGGAAUUCCCGGUGUAGCGGUGGAAUGCGUAGAUAUCGGGAGGAACACCAGUGGCGAAGGCGGCCUACUGGGCACCAACUGACGCUGAGGCUCGAAAGUGUGGGUAGCAAACAGGAUUAGAUACCCUGGUAGUCCACACCGUAAACGAUGAUUACUAGGUGUUGGAGGAUUGACCCCUUCAGUGCCGCAGUUAACACAAUAAGUAAUCCACCUGGGGAGUACGACCGCAAGGUUGAAACUCAAAGGAAUUGACGGGGGCCCGCACAAGCAGUGGAGUAUGUGGUUUAAUUCGACGCAACGCGAAGAACCUUACCAAGUCUUGACAUCCCUUGACGAACAUAGAAAUAUGUUUUCUCUUCGGAGCAAGAGACAGGUGGUGCAUGGUUGUCGUCAGCUCGUGUCGUGAGAUGUUGGGUUAAGUCCCGCAACGAGCGCAACCCUUAUGGUCAGUUACUACGCAAGAGGACUCUGGCCAGACUGCCGUUGACAAAACGGAGGAAGGUGGGGAUGACGUCAAAUCAUCAUGCCCUUUAUGACUUGGGCUACACACGUACUACAAUGGCGUUAAACAAAGAGAAGCAAGACCGCGAGGUGGAGCAAAACUCAGAAACAACGUCCCAGUUCGGACUGCAGGCUGCAACUCGCCUGCACGAAGUCGGAAUUGCUAGUAAUCGUGGAUCAGCAUGCCACGGUGAAUACGUUCCCGGGCCUUGUACACACCGCC
rnacentral:rRNA from 1 species